UACAACGCACUACCUGUUCAUAGUAGUCGUUGCUGUCAACAGCACACUGCUCACCACCAACGCAGGGGACUACAUCUUCUACACAGACUGGGCGUGAACGUACUUCGUUGUGUGUGCGUUGGCUGCGUCGACCUGGCCAAAUGUAGACCGCAUAGCCCUCAUUCUGUUGACGAGUGUGCACGGCAGCGCCACCUAUUCACCCACUUUCUAGCAAUAUCCAACUUGGUUAGCACUUGCAUUACGUCCUGCAACUUCAUACCCUCUCCCUACCUGUGGGCUACAAGGCGCAACAAGCACGUGACCAUACUGAUGUGCGGUGAGCUGGUUGGCCUAUCCUUCCCGCGUUUCAACAUAGUCAACCUGUUGCUUGUAAGGGCCCCGCUCGAGGUUGCCUUCAAGUAUCCUAGACCGACUCUGCCCGCGUACAUGACGCCUAUAGAGCCUCAGGUAGGGAAGUUCUACAACUCGCCUGUCGCCCUGGGUUCAGGUGCCGGUGCAGUGCUAACGGUACCCAUCGCUGCGUUGGGUGCAAAACUAAACACGUGG
rnacentral:rRNA from 1 species